CCUACGGGAGGCAGCAGUAGGGAAUAUUGCUCAAUGGGGGAAACCCUGAAGCAGCAACGCCGCGUGGAGGAUGAAGGUUUUCGGAUUGUAAACUCCUUUUGUUAGAGAAGAUAAUGACGGUAUCUAACGAAUAAGCACCGGCUAACUCCGUGCCAGCAGCCGCGGUAAUACGGAGGGUGCAAGCGUUACUCGGAAUCACUGGGCGUAAAGGGCGCGUAGGCGGGAUAGCAAGUCAGAUGUGAAAUCCUAUGGCUUAACCAUAGAACUGCAAUUGAUACUGUCAGUCUAGAGUAUGGGAGAGGUAGGUGGAAUUCUUGGUGUAGCGGUAAAAUGCGUAGAGAUCAAGAAGAAUACUCAUUGCGAAGGCGACCUACUAGAACAUAACUGACGCUGAUGCGCGAAAGCGUGGGGAGCAAACAGGAUUAGAUACCCGGGUAGUC
rnacentral:rRNA from 1 species